AUUUAUAUAGUUUAAUGUAAAACAUUACAUUUUCAAUGUAAAAAUAAGUCUUUCUUCUUUAUAAAUA
rnacentral:tRNA from 1 species